UUCCUCCUCGUUUCUGUCCCUCAAUCUGAAGCACGCCCGUGGCUGCAGCCGCCAUGGCCAUCACCGUCCUCGCGACCAACGACCUCCCCAUCGACUGAGACCAUGUCCAGGACCUUCGUCGUCGUCGAAUUCAUCCCCACGCGGAAGGGCUCGAGCUAGGAGGCCCCAUUCGCUCACACCCGUCGACGUUCACGACCCCAUGGCCGCCUCACCGUGAAGCUCGCGCCCUCCGUCGACCCCGUGCCCGGAGUCCAUGUCCUGCAACUCCGUCGGCCUCCUCUACGUCGUCUACGACCACCACCUCGAGCUCUAUGCCUCUACAUCGCCGGGAUCGACGUCGUCUUCCUCAACUACGGCCGCCGCCUUCCCCUGUGAGCGGCACCCCCAUUCCCCUUGUCUCCUCCUCGAUCCGUGGCCAUAGCUGUCGUCCCCGAGCUCGUCCGAACGUACACGUACGAGCACGUACAUGCUCUGUGCUUGCUGCCUUGGCUGCCCGUGCACCUGCUGAUGUUGUCCGAAGUUGUCGCGACCGCCUCAUGCUGAGCCGUCCGCGUACACGCCCCGCCCCGUGCUCGCGCAGCCCCGCGCCCACGGCCGCGCUCGUCGCCCGUGAUUCUGGCGCGUGCACUUGCCGCGCUGAGCUGUUGCGGGCUUCACUGCGUUGCUGCUCCGCUGCUGGCUCCUGCUUGCCGCUGCUGUUGCCAUUGGCCACUGCUGCUCCCGUCUUGCCGCUGCUGUUGCCAUUGGCUACUGCUGCCUGCUGCCGCAUGGUGUUGUCGCUGGAUGUUGCUGGGUAUUGCUGCUUGCUAUGGCUGCUGCGAGCUGCUGUUGUUGCUUGCUAUGGCUGCUGCCAGCUGCUGUUGCUGCUUGUACCGCUGGGCAUCAUGGCAUGUGUGCUGUGCAUGCUAACACAGGAUGCCAAGCCGACGAGCAUGGCCAUAUGCGUGCGUGUGUGUCCGGCUCGCCCGUACUCUUCUAAUUAGGUUAGUUGAUUAUUUAGUUCAAUGCACAAAUGACAAGUGGACCCCAUUUAUUCAAGUUAGUUUAAAAUUAUUUGUUCAGAUAUAGUCAAUGUCACACGGCCCCAUUGACCAUGUUGACCAGGCAACAUUGACUGGUGAACUACUGCUAACUAGACCCCUCACCCCACCGUCAUACCAUUGGCUAGCAUAGCCCCAUGUAAGAAAAAUAUUUCCACAUUUAUUUUUGAAUUAGGAUAAUCUAGAAUAUUGUUAAAACUCUGAAAAUUCAUAUAAAAUAAUUCGCAACUCGAAUGAAAAUAAUUUAUAUAUGAAAGUUGUUCAGAAAAAUCCCAUAAAUCCGAAUACGGUGUCCCUUCAUCUGUCACAUGCUCGGAGCAUGUUGGAUAUGGACAUUUUGCAUUAGGUUUAUCUGCUCGGUAAUAGCCAAAGACUCGAAAAAUAUCGUCAGAUAUUCUUCCGACCCGUCUGCGACACGUGUUGCUGCGUUAGGUCACCCCUAGCACGGUGUAUUACCUUGUCAUGCUUUAUGGUGUGUUUGCUUGCUCUCUUAAUUAAUGUGUUUCCCCUUCGUUAUUUUCCUUUCCGGUAGACCCCGAGACCGAUGUUGAUCCGGUGAUCGACUACUUCAAUGUCGAGGAUCUCUAUGUGUCUGCAGAGCAACAAGGCAAGCAAACCCCCUUGAUCACCCCUAUAUCGCCUAUGUCUUUCUUCCUCCUGCUUGCAUUAGAAUUUUCGUACUGUUGUAGUUAGCUCCUAUAUCUAAUGCAUAACCUAUUUUUGAUGAACUGCUACUUUCAGUACUGCACUUUAAACUAUUUAGUAUAGGUGGAGCAGUCAUCCCCUCUGACCCUGUAGUCCAGUUGCCCCGCUUUGUUUUCAAGUCUCGAUCCCUCAUCGACGAGCCAGAUCCGGCACAACACUUACCCCCCCCCCCUUAGUUGUGCGACGCUACAAAGAUACUAUCGGGUACCGAGGGUGACACCUCGCGAAGUACCCCUGAUGAUAUCUCUGUAGUACAGCUAGUCGGUCGUGGUUAUUGAGGGUGAUUCCUCUUUCACCAUUUCCGACAAUGCCUCUGUCGUGCAACCCCUCAAGUGUGGGACCCUCGACGGUGAUUCCUGUAGGUCCACCUUGACGGAUACAUCGUUUAGAAUCCAACGAGGGUGAUACCUCGGAUUCCCCCCGAUGUUACAACCACACAGUUACUUGAUCAUGUUACUGGGAUCAUUGAUGAAUAGAUGUUAGGCGGGUGGAUUCCCGCGUGUUUGUGUCGAUGACCUAAUUAAAAUGAUAAUGGAUUUGGGUAUUUGAUCUCGGUUGGUCGGAAGGCAUUAUUACGCACUAACCGUCUGGGUGGGAAGAAUUAUGGGUACUCGACGUCGCGGUAUCAGCCGAAGCUCUUUAGACGUCAGCAAUGGAGCGCGCGCGCGCCCGAGUGGUCUUGAGAUGCAUCGCGCUUGUGAUUAAGGGAUGCUAGGACUGACCUCGGCCACCCACGCAUCAUGCAGGAGCGCGGAGGGAAAGUGGGCCCACAAACCCUCUGUGCUUAGGAGUUAGACCGACGGGUUGCCUCUCUGUUGAGCUUAGGUGGGGCUGCGACGUUUCGACAUUCCGAGGCCGGUCAUGACCCAUUAAAGUGUGUCCGUCCAAAGUGUUAUCGAGCGCGUCGGGGAAUAUGUUGUGCACCCCUGCAGGGAAGAACUUAUCUAUUCGAAUAGCCAUGUCCAACGUUACAGGACGACUUGGAGUUGUGCCCUGAUCUUAUACAAUUACAAUUGUUACUUAACUGGAAUUAGUUGCCCUGGGAUCGCUUCCUCGCAGGGAGUCGAGGGAGGAUCUGUGGGCGUGACCUCACUUUAAUAUUGCUGCAAUAAUAUGACUAUUAUUUGUGUUACACCUGAUCUACUCUCGUCUAUUGCUGCAAGACCCUCAAGAUGCUAGUCUUCAUAGGACCAGGCCUUCUCUCUCUAAUCUCGCAUUGCUGCAGUCAGUCCACACAUAACCACCCCCUUCUUCGAUACUGUUGCAUAUUUAGAAUAUUUCUGAUGUAAGACUUGCGAGUACUUUCGAUGAGUACUCACCAUUGCUUGGCUCCCCCUUUGUCCCCUUGAUCCGUUGCUGCAACCAGACGAUGGAGCCCACGAGUGGAGUUUCCUGCCGACGCCUGCCCCCCCUCCCCGCGUUGGUGACUUCUUCGUGGAGGCCGCUGAAGAGCAAGAUUAGUUUAGGAGGUUCCGAGGCAUGAGGCCUCGCCUCGUUCGAUCGUGUUUCUUUUGUGCUUGCCUUCUCUAAGGCACCCCAUGUUUUAUGUGUGUAGUCAGAUAUUGUUGCUUCCGCUGACUCGUGUGUUUAUCGAGCUUCCGUAUUCUAGUCCUCGAGACCCCUUGCUUGUAAUAUGAAGCUUGUAUUAUUUUAUUUGUGUCUAGUGUUGUGUUUAAUA
rnacentral:lncRNA from 1 species